rnacentral:rRNA from 1 species
UACGUAGGGGGCGAGCGUUGUCCGGAUUCAUUGGGCGUAAAGCGCUUUAAGGCGGUUCGCUAAGUCGCGUGUGAAACCUCCAGGCUCAACCUGGAGACGCCACGCGAUACUGGCGUGACUAGAGUUCGGUAGGGGAUCACGGAAUUCCUGGUGUAGCGGUGAAAUGCGCAGAUAUCAGGAGGAACACCAACGGCGAAGGCAGCUCGCUAGGACGGUACUGACGCUGAGACGCGAAAGCGUGGGGAGCGAACAGG